rnacentral:misc_RNA from 1 species
AAAAAAAAGCUGGUUAGCGCCAGCAUCAUAAUAUUACCAAUGUGCACCUAUUGAACCUUUUGCUUUGGCAGAAUUUUCCAUUUUUUUGGAGGUUCUGCCAAGUGUAUUUUUAAUCCUAUCCUGAUUGUCGACUGAAUUUUUAAAUUAAAAAAACUUAAUA